CUGGCGGCAGGCCUAACACAUGCACGUCGAGCGGUAACAUUUCUAGCUUGCUAGAAGAUGACGAGCGGCGGACGGGUGAGUAAUGCUUGGGAAUAUGCCUUAGGGUGGGGGACAACAGUUGGAAACGACUGCUAAUACCGCAUAACGUCUACGGACCAAAGGGGGCUUCGGCUCUCGCCCUUAGAUUAGCCCAAGUGGGAUUAGCUAGUUGGUGAGGUAAUGGCUCACCAAGGCGACGAUCCCUAGCUGGUUUGAGAGGAUGAUCAGCCACACUGGAACUGAGACACGGUCCAGACUCCUACGGGAGGCAGCAGUGGGGAAUAUUGCACAAUGGGCGCAAGCCUGAUGCAGCCAUGCCGCGUGUGUGAAGAAGGCCUUAGGGUUGUAAAGCACUUUCAGUAAGGAGGAAAGGUUAGUAGUUAAUACCUGCUAGCUGUGACGUUACUUACAGAAGAAGCACCGGCUAACUCCGUGCCA
rnacentral:rRNA from 1 species